rnacentral:lncRNA from 1 species
AUCAUCUUCUCAACAAAUGUCUAUGCCUGUGACCCUGGGAGAAUGAGAACGCAUGUAAAAAGCUAUGGGUGGGAGCUCCAUGACCACAGGGGAACACCCACAUAGGAGUUGAUUCUGUGGAGCCUAAUUCUGUAGAUUCAGCAGCUUCUUUAUUUCUCAAAGCAGGUAUUCCCCACAUCUGUAGGAGAUGGAAGGGAGAGAAUCAGAGAAAGAAGAGUCCCAGGCAAGCAAGAAGCUGCGGGAGAAUAUGCAGCAAUAAAUUCAAGUGCCAUUUGCUCUUCACCAACUCUCCGGCUCAGGUCAUGAAGAUAAGAACAGUAGUCAUUAUUAUCAUCAUAGUGAGCA